rnacentral:lncRNA from 1 species
GUUGGGUUGAUUAAGUUCAGUUUCAUGAUCUAGUUCCUUCGCAUGUUAGUUUCGUGUGAUUCUUUGUUGUGAUGAUGUGUUGGGUUGAUUAAAUUCUGUUUCUUUUAUUGAUGAUGAUGAUCGUUGAUGGUUUCUUUGAUAUUGUUUCGGCGAUAGCUUUGUAGUUGAUAUGGUUUAUGUAAUUUCUUGUUAGGAAACUUGAUAGGUUUUAGAUUUGUAUUGAAGUUUAGUAUAUAUUAUUGCCUCGAAUGCUUGUUGUUUUUGAUUUUCUUGAACGAAAGUUGAUAUGUUUGUAGUUCGGAUUUGAAGUUACGUAUAUGAAAUU